UGGGGAAUCUUGCACAAUGGGGGCAACCCUGAUGCAGCGACGCCGCGUGAGCGAUGAAGCCCUUCGGGGCGUAAAGCUCUUUCGACCGGAACGAUAAUGACGGUACCGGGAGAAGAAGCUGCGGCUAACUACGUGCCAGCAGCCGCGGUAAUACGUAGGCAGCAAGCGUUGCUCGGAGUUACUGGGCGUAAAGAGUGCGUAGGCGGUUUUCUAAGUUCGGUGUGAAAUCUCCCGGCUUAACUGGGAGGGUGCGCCGAAGACUGGGAAGCUGGAGUGUGGGAAAGGCAGGCGGAAUUCCUGGUGUAGCGGUGAAAUGCGUAGAUAUCAGGAGGAACACCGGCGGUGUAGACGGCUUGCUAAACCAUAACUGCCGCUGAGGCACGAAAGCGUGGGUAGCAAACA
rnacentral:rRNA from 1 species